rnacentral:rRNA from 1 species
UCUUGGAUGGACCUGCGGUGCAUUAGCUAGUUGGUAAGGUAACGGCUUACCAAGGCAAUGAUGCAUAGCCGAGUUGAGAGACUGAUCGGCCACAUUGGGACUGAGACACGGCCCAAACUCCUACGGGAGGCAGCAGUAGGGAAUCUUCCACAAUGGACGAAAGUCUGAUGGAGCAACGCCGCGUGAGUGAAGAAGGGUUUCGGCUCGUAAAGCUCUGUUGGUAGUGAAGAAAGAUAGAGGUAGUAACUGGCCUUUAUUUGACGGUAAUUACUUAGAAAGUCACGGCUAACUACGUGCCAGCAGCCGCGGUAAUACGUAGGUGGCAAGCGUUGUCCGGAUUUAUUGGGCGUAAAGCGAGUGCAGGCGGUUCAAUAAGUCUGAUGUGAAAGCCUUCGGCUCAACCGGAGAAUUGCAUCAGAAACUGUUGAACUUGAGUGCAGAAGAGGAGAGUGGAACUCCAUGUGUAGCGGUGGAAUGCGUAGAUAUAUGGAAGAACACCAGUGGCGAAGGCGGCUCUCUGGUCUGCAACUGACGCUGAGGCUCGAAAGCAUGGGUAGCGAACAGGAUUAGAUACCCUGGUAGUCCAUGCCGUAAACGAUGAGUGCUAAGUGUUGGGAGGUUUCCGCCUCUCAGUGCUGC